GGUUUCAAACUGGCGAACCAAGGUUAUGAACAUAUAGAUCUCAUGAAAACGAAUCUAACGCAAUUUGAACGGGUCAAAUUGGAGUUAAAACGAAGUUUUUAUGGCUAAAACAAAUCUAGUGGCAAACUUGUAAUUUGUGAAAACGUAUUUUUAAAAUUAACCGAGAAUUUACAUUUUCAAAUUCGGGUUACGUAUUGUUAGAGGAGCGCUUUGUACCGGGUUCUAAUUGCGAAGAAACGAGGGGCUCUUUAUCUAAUUUUACCUCGAAGGGGUAUUUCAAUAUUUGCCGUUGAUUUUAGAUCUGAUGGGUGGGAUCGAUUGGGAGAGAGUGAGGGCACCGACAGCGAGCCCGACGGCGGCGCCAUGGCCGGGAGGUUGUGCUCCUCGUCGGAGUUCAUCAAUAUAGUGUCUCCGAGUGUCCUAGGGCAAAAGAAAAUCACCAGGAGAAAGAGGAGACCGAGACGAACUCACCUAGGGCCUAUUCGGGGUCAAAGAUCGAUCGAGGAUGGCGUGCCGCAUGGAUUGGUGGACAGGGAGCCCCUGCAAGAGUUUGGCGUCGCAGAGUGAGCAUACCAAAGCAAAAAACAGAAGGCAGAAGGGUAAAAGGUCUAGCGGCUUCCAAAGAUCAUAACAGAGCUUGGCAUAGAGUUUUCAAUAACCUUGGAGCAACGCAAAGCUUUGACAACGGCGGCGACCUUCUUGCUAAUCCGGUGAAAUAGAUGUGAGAAAACGGAGUGUGGAGGAGGUGCCUAGGGUUUUACAGGAGCUCGGUUGUGCGCUUAAAGCAAGGAGAUCCUGGGGAAAUCGGGAUUAACCCGCUGCCGCUCGAGUCCGAGCAGGCCACGACGUGAGCAAGAUGGAAAGGGUGCCGCUGAUAGGCGGACCCUAGGGUUCAGCGACUCAAGGCGCGGAAGAAGGUGGAAGUGGGUCGGAUUUUGCGUGCGUGGCUAACGGGCCGAGAAGGGGGAAGCUGGGCCACGAGAGAAAGGUUGGGAGUGGUCCGACUGCGGAGCUAGGGCGCUGCUGCUGGGCCUUUAGGCCAAAAACGGUGAGAGGGAGAGGUUUUCUUUUUUUUUUCUUUUUCUUCCAAAAAGCCAUUUUGAGUCAUUUUCAAAGCCUUUUCAAAUCCAUUUAAAAUCAGUUUGACAUAUUUUAAACUUUUGUCAAAUACACACAUAUCAAUAAAUCAAAUGCAAAGGCAUGCAUGCUCAAACAUAUUUAUAAACUCCUAUGGUGAAUUUUGAUUUAAUGGAAAAAUAUUAUGAGCACAAAAAUUCAUAAAUAAAUUAUUUUCCAUCUAUUUCCAAAAGUGCAAAAUUUAGUGUGUUACACAUGGCCACUGCCAUCGUCACCGGUGGUUUCUAUGCUCUGUUUCUCCAUGUCGACGAAAAGCCAUCUGAUGAAUCUCUAGUCAUGGGAGACUGCGAGAGGGAUGAUAGAUGUGGUGAAGAAGUAAGGAAGAGAAUGACACAUGGGUUCCACAUUUCAUUCUCUACUAGGAUAGCUUUGGGAGGCCUGUUUUACAUAGGGUUGCUGAAGAAAAUAGAUAAGUAGGGGGGUCUAUUUUGGGUUGUAUUGCUGGAUGGGGGUAGUGGCAGGGUCGCACAUAUGCUUCUUGCACUGCAUUGGCGGGCCGAGAAAAAAUUUCUUUGCAAGCUACGAUUCUGACAGGAUGGCAGUAUCCAAAAUAGACUCAUGCAUGUAUGCAACUAGAUGCAAUUCUACCUAGAAUGGCCCAGCCAUGCAUAUGGUCCAAUCGAAAUCUUUUACUGUUUUAUUUACAAAAGGGAAAAAGAGGGGGGAAAAGAGAUAUAGGCGUAUGAGAUGAGAUCAUGCUUUUUGUUUACAGUAGGAGAGACAUGGCCCUGCUUUUAUUCUUUUGCAUGUAACGGAAUCACAAAAGAAUACGGUAACAUUUAUUCUCUCAUGCAUUGCAUGCAGGAGAUUUUGAAACCUAAGAGCAACUCCAACAGCUU
rnacentral:lncRNA from 1 species